rnacentral:misc_RNA from 1 species
GCAAACUUGGUCAUUUAGAGGAAGUAAAAGUCGUAACAAGGUUUCCGUAGGUGAACCUUCGGAAGGAUCAUUACCGUAACGCGGCGGUCCAGUAGCCCAAAAAACUGCUGGCCGCCACACGCGUUUAUCACCCUUGAAUUUGAGCACCUUCUGUUUCCUCGGCGGGUUCGCCCGCCAACGAGGACCCCUUGAACUCUUUGUAGUAGCAGUAUUUGUCUGAAAACAAAGUUAAUUAAUUAAAACUUUCAACAAUGGAUCUCUUGGUUCUGGCAUCGAUGAAGAACGCAGC